GUAGGGAAUCUUCCACAAUGGGCGAAAGCCUGAUGGAGCAAUGCCGCGUGAGUGAUGAAGGUUUUCGGAUCGUAAAGCUCUGUUGCCAGGGAAGAACGUCCAGUAGAGUAACUGCUAUUGGAGUGACGGUACCUGAGAAGAAAGCCCCGGCUAACUACGUGCCAGCAGCCGCGGUAAUACGUAGGGGGCAAGCGUUGUCCGGAAUUAUUGGGCGUAAAGCGCGUGCAGGCGGCUUCUUAAGUCGGGUGUUUAAGACCGGGGCUCAACCCCGGCUCGCACCCGAAACUGGGAAGCUUGAGUGUAGGAGAGGAAAGUGGAAUUCCACGUGUAGCGGUGAAAUGCGUAGAGAUGUGGAGGAACACCAGUGGCGAAGGCGACUUUCUGGCCUAUAACUGACGCUGAGGCGCGAAAGCGUGGGGAGCAAACAGGAUUAGAUACCCGUGUAGUCC
rnacentral:rRNA from 1 species